AUACGGAGGGUCCAAGCGUUAUCCGGAUUCAUUGGGUUUAAAGGGUCCGCAGGCGGGAAAAUAAGUCAGUGGUGAAAGCCUACAGCUCAACUGUAGAACUGCCAUUGAUACUGUUUUUCUUGAGUAUAGAUGAAGUGGGCGGAAUAUAUCAUGUAGCGGAGGAAUGCAUAGAUAUGAUAUAGAACACAGAUUGCGAAGGCAGCUCACUAAACUAUUACUGACGCUCAGGGACGAAAGCGUGGGGAGCGAACAGGAUUAGAAACCCUAGUAGUCC
rnacentral:rRNA from 1 species